UGUAGUGCAUACACCUCAUCUGCUCAACAUACGAAAGCUUUUCACCACGACUGCGAGCCAGUGUUCUUGUGCAGCGAGAGCAAGACUAUGUUUGGUGUUAUAACACAGUAUAAGCAUCGCUUUAAUAAAUGCAAAUG
rnacentral:lncRNA from 1 species